CCCAUUAAAAACGUGUUGGGAUGGAUUUCAUGGCUGGGUUGGACAGAGGGAAGAAAAGAAAUCCCUGCGGGUCCCGGCAGGGAUUUACGAGCUGGGGCUUCGCUUCGGGUUGUUCUGCCUGAUCCUGGUAUGUAGGAAAGGAGCAAAAAAAAAACAAAAAAAAAAAAAAAAAAAAAAAAAAAACCCCCCCCCCCCAGCAAAAAAAAAAAAAAAAAACAAAAAAAAACCAAAAAUCAAACCCCAAAACAAGGCGCGAUGGUGUCUGCAUUCCUGCUGCCUGAAUCAGCGCUUUCCUGGCAGAUCCGGGCCCUCCCCAGCUGCAGGGACUGGGGAAGGUGCAGCCGAGCCGGGGUCAGCCCUGCCACCCUCAGAGCCGCGUCCCAAAACCACCCCACCCCCUGCGCCCUUCCUCGGGGCUGGGGAUCCCUUCCCAUCACUGUGAGCAGUUCUGGGAUCCCUCCCCAUCACUCUGAGCAGUUCUGGGAUCCCUCCCCAUCACUCUGAGCAGUUCUGGGAUCCUUUGGACAGGCUGAUCCCUUCUCACGAGGGUUUUGGGAUCCCAUUUACUGGAUUUGGGAUCCCAUUUACUGGGUUUGGGAUCCCAUUCGUUGCCCCCCCAGGGAAUGGGAGCCACGUGGCCACCAAACCCCGGGCUGGGCUCAGAAUCUCCCUGUUCCCUGGACCUUCCUCCUGCUCUCCCUCCUCACCUGCUCCAGCCACGCUCCCACCUGGUCCCUCCCUCCCCGUGCCUGGUGUUUCUCUUCCAGGCAAUAUAAAAAUGAAAGGAGAAAAUAUUGUAAAUUCUUCCCAAGCUCUUUGCUUCAAAAACAUCCAAAGCAAAUUUAGGCAGCGGGGCCAUAAACGUUACUUUUAUUGCAGACACAGAAUUACCCUCUGCAAUAUGACUCCUCUCAAUUUAUGGCUCUCCCAGAGCUAUUAAUUCAGCCCAGGUCUUUUCUUCUUCUU
rnacentral:lncRNA from 12 species